UACGGAAGGCAGCAGUGGGGAAUAUUGCACAAUGGGCGAAAGCCUGAUGCAGCUAUGCCGCGUGUAUGAAGAAGGCCUUAGGGUUGUAAAGUACUUUCAUCGGGGAGGAAAAACAAAACUAAUAAUUUUAUUUCUUGACGUUACCCGAAAAAGAAGCACCGGCUAACUCCGUGCCAGCAGCCGCGGUAAUACGGAGGGUGCUAGCGUUAAUCAGAAUUACUGGGCGUAAAGAGCACGUAGGUGGUUUUUUUAAGUCAGAUGUGAAAUCCCUGGGCUUAACCUGGAACUGCAUUUUGAAACUGAAAUACUAGAGUAUCGUAGAGGGAGGUAGAAUUCUAGGUGUAGCGGUGAAAUGCGUAGAUAUCUGGAGGAAUACCUGUGGCGAAAGCGGCCUCUAAACGAAUACUGACACUGAGGUGCGAAAGCGUGGGGAGCAAACAGGGAUUAGAUACCCGU
rnacentral:rRNA from 1 species